GAUGAAGAACGUAGCGAAAUGCGAUAAGUAAUGUGAAUUGCAGAAUUCAGUGAAUCAUCGAAUCUUUGAACGCACAUUGCGCCCGCCAGUAUUCUGGCGAGCAUGCCUGUUCGAGCGUCAUUUCAACCAUCAAGCCCCAGGCUUGUGUUGGAGCCCUGCGGCUGCCGCAGCCUCCCAAAACCAGUGGCGGGCUCGCUAUCACACCGAGUGCAGUAGUUUACUCUUCGCUCAGGGCGUGUGGCGGGUGCUAGCCGUGAAACCCCCAACUUCUCAAGGUUGACCUCGGAUUAGGUAGGAAUACCCGCUGAACUUAAGCAUAUCAAUAAGCGGAGGA
rnacentral:misc_RNA from 1 species